CUUCCGCAUUCCGCCAUCUUAGCUCGAUCCUGUUCCAGCUGUCUCUUCCUGGUUACAGAUGACACGCCAGCUUGGCCAAUCUAAGGGGACUAGUAUGCUUGCCUUCCUUAUAAGGUGACGGUUGGCAGCCAGUAAAUCCUCCAAUAGGGGAUAGAUUUCUCUCCCCUGCCUGAAAUAUAAGGUGACGGUUGGCAGCCAGUAAAUCCUCCAAUAGGGGAUAGAUUUCUCUCCCCUGCCUGAAAUAUAAGGUGACGGUUGGCAGCCAGUAAAUCCUCCAAUAGGGGAUAGAUUUCUCUCCCCUGCCUGAAAUAUAAGGUGACGGUUGGCAGCCAGUAAAUCCUCCAAUAGGGGAUAGAUUUCUCUCCCCUGCCUGAAAUAUAAGGUGACGGUUGGCAGCCAGUAAAUCCUCCAAUAGGGGAUAGAUUUCUCUCCCCUGCCUGAAAUAUAUAUAAGCUUGCUCCCGAGGUGGAUCGGGGCUCGCCGUCCACGACAUCGCUGUAACUCAACUUGAUUCCUGCAAUAAAGAUUGCUGACGAGAA